UACGUAGGAGACGAGCGUUGUCCGGAGUUACUGGGCGUAAAGGGCGCGUAGGCGGCCACCGCAAGUCAGUUGUGAAAUCUCUGGGCUUAACCCAGAACGGUCAGCUGAUACUGCGGGGCUAGAGUGCAGAAGGGGCAACUGGAAUUCUCGGUGUAGCGGUGAAAUGCGUAGAUAUCGAGAGGAACACCUGCGGCGAAGGCGGGUUGCUGGGCUGACACUGACGCUGGACAGCGCGAAAGCUAGGGGAGCGAACGGG
rnacentral:rRNA from 1 species